CCAAGACAUUCCAGUUAAAGCUCCUGGUAGACAGCUGAUAUGGUUGAUGAGACCUGGGGUCUGAGG
ensembl:snoRNA small nucleolar RNA, C/D box 104